UACGUAGGGUGCAAGCGUUGUCCGGAAUUAUUGGGCGUAAAGAGCUCGUAGGCGGUCUGUCGCGUCUGCUGUGAAAACUCAGGGCUUAACCCUGAGCUUGCAGUGGGUACGGGCAGACUAGAGUGCGGUAGGGGAGACUGGAAUUCCCGGUGUAGCGGUGAAAUGCGCAGAUAUCAGGAGGAACACCGGUGGCGAAGGCGGGUCUCUGGGCCGUAACUGACGCUGAGGAGCGAAAGCGUGGGGAGCGAACAGG
rnacentral:rRNA from 1 species